GCCAUGGUUGGUCAGUCCUCCUAACAUCAGGGACUGCUUCAAAGACAAGAACCUUGUUUCUAUCACCUGUAUCCAAACACACAGCCUGACAGUGGGUCAGCACUCAAUAAAUGCUUGUAUUUUUCAUGAAUUCCUUCAAAAAAUUCUCUCAUGCCAGCAAGGUUGAAUCCAUGAUCUCAAAAGAGGCAAGGUGGAGUCCAGACUCAACCCUAGAUAUGUCUGCCUCUGAAUCUCAUGCCAGGGGGGCAGGCACUACCCCAAGUUGGGUGAGAGGGCUCUGUGCACCAGCCUGCACUGCCCCAAGAGGGAGC
rnacentral:lncRNA from 1 species